CCUACGGGGGGCUGCAGUGGGGAAUCUUGGACAAUGGGGGCAACCCUGAUCCAGCGACGCCGCGUGGGUGAUGAAGGCCUUCGGGUUGUAAAGCCCUUUUGUCGGGGACGAUGAUGACGGUACCCGGCGAAUAAGCACCGGCUAACUCCGUGCCAGCAGCCGCGGUAAUACGGAGGGUGCUAGCGUUGUUCGGAAUUACUGGGCGUAAAGGGCGCGUAGGCGGCCGUUUGCGUCGGAUGUGAAAGCCCGGGGCUCAACCUCGGAACGGCAUCCGA
rnacentral:rRNA from 1 species